rnacentral:rRNA from 1 species
AUUGAACGCUGGCGGCAUGCCUUACACAUGCAAGUCGAACGGCAGCACGGGAGCAAUCCUGGUGGCGAGUGGCGAACGGGUGAGUAAUGUAUCGGAACGUACCUUUCAGUGGGGGAUAACGUAGCGAAAGUUACGCUAAUACCGCAUAUUCUGUGAGCAGGAAAGCAGGGGAUCGCAAGACCUUGCGCUGAUUGAGCGGCCGAUAUCAGAUUAGCUAGUUGGUGAGGUAAAGGCUCACCAAGGCGACGAUCUGUAGCGGGUCUGAGAGGAUGAUCCGCCACACUGGAACUGAGACACGGUCCAGACUCCUACGGGAAGCAGCAGUGGGGAAUUUUGGACAAUGGGCGCAAGCCUGAUCCAGCCAUGCCGCGUGAGUGAAGAAGGCC